AAAUAGUCCAUCAUGGCCGACCAAGAAGAUGUUCAAACAACCAAGAGAUAUGUUAGUCCAAAGACAGAAUGACGAGCGAACUUUUACCACUUAUUUGUGUAGAAGAGUAUGGUACCAGGGGUGCAGCUGACUCUGAUUCCCGGCUUGUUCUAAUGAAAAAAGGCAGAUGAGGCACUGGAAUCCGAAUGUAAUCAAAAAUGCCAUUGUAUGAGGAUUGACCUGCAAUGCAUGGCAAUCAUCUUAACACAACUGCAACGCCUUCCUUGGAAAAAUGAGUGCAAGAUGGAAACAAAGCGUUCAGUGGAACAUCUUGUCAUCUCAAAUAUUUGAUGACUUACAUACUGAUGUGAAGUUAAAGAUAAAAGUCAUCUGUUGGUCCGUGAUUAUUAAAUAAAUCCGAACUUAUAUUUUAAAAGGGUAAAAUGGUAAAGGAUUUAUAUACGCUUUACGUGGUUUUCCUAUAUUAUGGAGGGAAGAUAACUACAAAAACAGAAACAGAUGGCAUCGGCAGACCAAAUAAAGGAGAACUAUUUUGUUCAGUUCAAUUUUUAAGACUUCAGAAAAUCUGUUAAUAGGGCACAUCCUUGCAAAUGCCAUAUUGUAAACUGGGCUCUUUAAAAUGUGAAAAGGUGAAAGUGGUCUAGAGGAUAAGCCCCAAAUUCAAGGUUGUGAGUUCAAGACCUCCAAGAUACUUUCUCUUGACCUCAGGAAAAGGAUGUCCAUACUUGUUUCUUCUUA